GUGUGCUGAGAAUAAAAUGAUUAGCAUAACACCUAUAAAAGUUUUUGAGAAAAUUCAAAAUUUGAUGAUAAAAGUUAAGAUAAUGCUGCACAGUCAAGACAUGAUGGAAAUGUCAACAGAGGCUGAGCCUUCUUUCCAUUCAAUGAAGAGGACCACAGAAAGAUGGUCAUACCGAGGAUGCACAACAGGAAAUUUUGAUGAAAAGCCCUUAAAAAUACCCAUUCUCCAAGACUACUAAUAUAUUUUGUAUGGGUAAUGAAACCUGGCCAACAGAAUCAGAGAUACAAAAUGGGAUCCAUCUCACAUAAGUCAGAAAGGCUGUUAAUAAAAAGUCAACAACAACAACAACAACAACAGAUGCUGGUGAGGCUGCAGAGAAAAGGAAAUGCUAAUACACUGUUGGCGAGAAUGUAAAUUAGUUCAGCUACUGCAGAAACCAGUCUGGAGAUUUCUCAAAUAACUUAAAACGAGAUACCAUUUGAUCAGGUGAUCUCAUUACUGGGUACAUAUCCAAGAGAAAAUAAAUCAUUCAUUUGUUCUUUUUACUCCUUCUCUCUUCUUUUCUUUUAGAUUUUUUUAAUGAUUCAUUUUAUCAUCUUUAUUGACUUAUUAGCUAUACCUGUUUAUUAAUAAGUGACUGCUUUCCAAGUUUACAGGAUACAUCUUUACCUUAGCACACUCUGUGUUAGAAUAACAUUAUAUCAUUUCCCAAUUUCACAUUAUAAAUGAGAAUCUUAUAACAGUAAAUUUACAUGUACCUUCUCUCAAAAUGGUAUUUUCAUAUGUAUUUUCCUUCUAUACAGGUUAAAAUCUGUAUAAUGCAUAGUUAUUUUGCUUAAUCUUUUAAAGAAAUUUCAAAAAUAAGGUUAUGUAUCAUAUACUUUUAUUGUUAAUAGUUCUAGUGAUAUUCCUUCCUUUGUGAAGAUACAGGUUUCCUUUUGUUAUUCACUUGGUUACAACAUUUCUUACAAAGGGCUUGUGCUAGUAAUAAAUUUAUUCAGCAUUUUUAUGUCUGAAAGUGUAUCUUUUUUGUUCUUCACAGAUAUUUUUAAACUUUUACUGCAAUAAAAUUUUAGGUUGACAGUUUUCAUCUUUAGCUCUUUAAACAUUUUGUUUCAGUGUCGCUUCUGAUGAGAUAUAUUCUGUCAUUCUUAUUUCUAAGCUUCGUUAUACAAUAUGCUUCUUUUUCUGGUUGCUUUUUAAAACCUCUCAUCAUUAUUGUUUUGAACAGUUUUCAUUAUGAUGUAUCAUGAUAAAGUUUACGAAUCUUUCAUGUGCUAGAAGUUUUUUAUACUUUGGUAAAAUUUUUAUUUAACUUGAAACAUUUUUGGCCAUUAAAUUUUCAAAUAUAUGUUCUACAACCCCCUUUCUUUGGACACUUGAAUUACAUGUAUAUUAGUUCCAUGUGUAUUGAAGUAUUUCAUAGUUCUCUGAUGCCUUAUUAAUUUUUCAUUUUAGACAGUUUCUGCUGCUAUGUCUUUAAGUUCAAGAAUCUUGCCUGCCAUAAUGUCUAAUCCGCAAAUAAUUCUCCCUUAGGAGUCAGUAUUUUUCCUAUCAGACAUUGUGUUUUUCAUCUCCAGAAGUUUGAGUCUUUUAAAAACAUAUCUUGUUUCUCCUUAAUGUAUUUAUGCUUUUCUCUACAUUCAUGAAUAUAUGAACUUUUAUUUAUGACUAUUUAAUGUAUUAUUUAACAAAUUCUGUCAUCUGUGUAAUUUGGGGGUAUUU
rnacentral:lncRNA from 10 species